rnacentral:misc_RNA from 1 species
UGAAAGUGAACUGAAGCUAUCAGCUACAUAGCCUCUUCGUUGUACUUCAAACAUCAAACACCCUAAUCUGAAAAUUUUGUGACAUAACUAACUACAUUUGCCAUCCAAAUCAUCCAAAAACUACUACUUCUUACUUUUUUUGUUCAACAAACGUCUAUAAGGGGGGAAAUCAUUCCAACUCAAAUUUUCCGAACUCUUCUGGCUGUAGUUCUCCUCUCUGAUAACCCCACAGAUUUGUCCAUGCUGAUUGGUAAAGGAGGCUUCUUGUUCUCCUUACUAGCUGUGCUUCUCAAGAAAUACCUUGAAGUUUCUCUCCUCUCUGCUAUUGGUGUAGAAGCAACAA